AUCACGUCCUCCUCCAUUUGCGGGAGUUUCUGACGUUAAAACGGCAGCAUUCGCUCGGCUACGGCAAAAACAAAGCUCUCUCCUAGAUACAAUAAUAAGAGAAUGGAUGUUGCUUUAGCCAGCGUUCCUUUUCAACACAGUGCUUUGAGAUAAACUACAUAAAGCUGAUGCACUCUAAUGUGUGUAGUCUGUAAAUUAGCCUAAUUUGGUCAAGCCCUGAAAAAAGGAAAGUCUUGAAAGCACAUGACUGUCAUACUCAUUUUAAUCCAGAUACAUUUUAUCAUCUCAUUUAAAUAAUUUGCUCUGAAGUGAACUUGAUUCAAUAUGAAAGUAAUUACUAUCUAUUAUAUUCAAACAAGAUGUUGUAAACCUUUGGUCAUGCUAAUCAAAUCUUCUUUUAUUCCAAAUUAAGAUUCUAGUUUUCUCGCUGUUCCCUCCUUUUCAGAUUUGAUGCUUAUUAUCUAAUUUUCUUUUUGAGGCCUUGAUUACACUUCGUCUGAAAAUGGACAGUAAUUACUGCCUCACUGCUUACAAAAGGUCUGCGGCAGAAAGAGGCCGAAAUCAUUCUUAUUCAAGGAACAACAAAGCAGGCAAAUGAAUCUCUUUCUGCCGUGUCUCAUUUCUGUGCUCCCAAUACACAUCUCUCCUCUGGAUUAAACCCUUUUACCCUUUCCCUUACGCUGUGAAUCAUACAUGCUCUAUUCAGAGACAUAAUAUGCACAACAAGCAUAAAACAAUAUUCAGAGGAGGCCUCGUGCUUUGAACAGGUUGGCCUGGAGCUCUGUUGCCGGAGUCACUUUGAUGUGGAUCUUAGCUCAUGAAAGACUGGUCCACUCUGGCCCGCAGUAUCAGCUGCAGAGAUGUGCACCUUGGCGGACUGUGGCCUCUCAGUGGCAGACCUGGUCCAUUCUCACCAUAGCUGUUCUCCUGCUGGCUCUGGUGCCAUUCGUGGUGUACCAGAUGACGACUGCUUUUGACAGUCCCCAUCCACACUCGCUCUUCAAGUCAGCUGCAAUCUGCUUUGGCCUGCUUAGUGAAGCCCUGUUGCUCAAGUGCUUGUGCAGUUACUUCAGCCACCGACUCCAGCGAGCAGAGCUAAGCUCCUUUAGCCUCCAACCUCGCAGAUCUGAGGAGCAUGAAGUCCAAACUAAUCUGAGUCAGUGCACCACGGCAGGGGUCAAAGGUUAGGACUCACAGACAUUGGCGGGAGAGAGGAACCACUUGGUUGUAAGCUCUGAGAGGACAGUAUCAGGGCUUCCACCGUUAAAUAUGACCAGAGGGAAUAAGACCUGUGGUGCAAGAAGAAGAAUAAAAAGAAAAAGACUGACUUAUUUAAAUGUCUG
ensembl:lncRNA